GCGCGGGGCGGCGGCGGCGGAAUGUCGGUGGUGUUCGUGCCGGAGCGGCUGCGCGGCAAGGCGGAGGUGAACCAGGAGACGCUGCAGCGGCUGCUGGAGGAGAACGACCAGCUGAUCCGCUGCAUCGUGGAGUACCAGAGCAAGGGCCGCGCCACCGACUGCGUGCAGUACCAGCAUAUCCUGCACAGAAACCUCAUUUAUUUAGCCACAAUUGCAGAUGCGACGCCACCCAGCGCGCAGAAGACUACAGAGUGACUGCACGUACCCGGCUGCAGGCUGCCCUGCUUUACAGAGAAAGGCUUUAGUUUACAUUGCCACUGUGGGAGGGAGAAAGUGUAGUCACACAAGGCAGAAGCUUUAAAAUACAAAAUGUACAAUUCCAGUUCAGAAGCAUUAGCUAUUCACAGAAGCACUGCAAUAAGGCAGCGACGAGGUCUGGCCCUGAGAACAUGGAGAACAAGCUGUCCCCAUUGGCUGAGGAGGUCUCAUCACUCGAGCUGGCAGAAUCUCCUUGAGUACCAGACCAGCUGUUUGUCACAUCACUAAUGUAUUAAGCGAAUCUUCCAAGAUCACCGGGUUUGGACUAUUUCAGAUGGAUUACUGUCCCUCAAACACUGUCUGCUGGGGAAACACUAUUUACCUAGACAGGGUGAAGAAGGCAUGAGUAUCGACGUAAGCCUCUGCUGUCCUGCCAACAACAGUGGCAACCUGGCAGUCUUGAAGAUUUCAUUUUUACUGCUCAGAACUAAACUCCACAAGUUAAAAUUCUUACCACUAACAAAUAAACUAAACUACUUUGGUUUUUCUCUAUUUCUUUAAUAAAGGCCAAGAAGACAGU